rnacentral:rRNA from 1 species
AUAAGCCACCGAAAGGUGGUCUAAUACUUCAUAAUAUCCAUCUCGUAUGGAUUAAAGCUUUAUGCGCUUUGGAGGGGCCUGCGUAACAUUAGCUAGUUGGUGAGGGUUAAAAAGCUCACCAAGGCUUCGAUGUUUAACUGGUUUGAGAGGAUGACCAGUCACACUGGGACUGAGAUACGGCCCAGACUCCUACGGGAGGCAGCAGUAAGGAAUCUUCCACAAUGGGGGCAACCCUGAUGGAGCAAUACCGCGUGCAGGAUGAAGCGUUUCGGCGUGUAAACUGCUUUAUCACCGAAGAUUAUGACUGUAGGUGAAGAAUAAGGACCGGCUAACUACGUG